rnacentral:rRNA from 1 species
UACGUAGGUGGCAAGCGUUAUCCGGAAUUAUUGGGCGUAAAGGGAACGCAGGCGGUCUUUUAAGUCUGAUGUGAAAGCCUUCGGCUUAACCGGAGUAGUGCAUUGGAAACUGGGAGACUUGAGUGCAGAAGAGGAGAGUGGAACUCCAUGUGUAGCGGUGAAAUGCGUAGAUAUAUGGAAGAACACCAGUGGCGAAAGCGGCUCUCUGGUCUGUAACUGACGCUGAGGUUCGAAAGCGUGGGUAGCAAACAGG